rnacentral:lncRNA from 1 species
CGAGGAUAAGUUUUGUCCAAAGAAUAUAUAAAUCGAGAUCCCCUCAGACCUCUUUUCAUAGCCGAGAUAGCCAUAUUUUCAUUGAGAUCUUUGACCUCAAGCAUGGCAGCAUUAAAGUGAGCCAUGAAAUCCCGAAGUAUUUCAGUCUCUCCUUGUUUAAUCGAGAAGAGACUAUCAAAAGUACAUGGCAGCCUUCGACUGGUGCUAAAGUGAGCCACGAAAAAAUAUUCUAACUGCCCGAAAGAAUAUAUGCUUCC